UACGUAGGGUGCAAGCGUUGUCCGGAAUUACUGGGCGUAAAGCGUGCGCAGGCGGUUUUGUAAGUCUGACGUGAAAUCCCCGGGCUCAACCUGGGAAUGGCGAUGGAUACUGGCGAGCUAGAGUGUGUCAGAGGAUGGUGGAAUUCCCGGUGUAGCAGUGAAAUGCGUAGAGAUGUGGAGGAACACCGAUGGCGAAGGCAGCCCCCUGGGUCAAGACUGACGCUCAUGCACGAAAGCGUGGGGAGCAAACAGG
rnacentral:rRNA from 1 species